rnacentral:rRNA from 1 species
AUUGAACGCUGGCGGCAUGCCUUACACAUGCAAGUCGAACGGCAGCACGGGGGCAACCCUGGUGGCGAGUGGCGAACGGGUGAGUAAUGCAUCGGAACGUACCCGGAAGUGGGGGAUGACGUAGCGAAGGUUACGCUAAUACCGCAUAUUCUGUGAGCAGGAAAGUGGGGGACCGCAAGGCCUCACGCUUUCGGAGCGGCCGAUGUCGGAUUAGCUAGUUGGCGGGGUAAAGGCCCACCAAGGCGACGAUCCGUAGCGGGUCUGAGAGGAUGAUCCGCCACACUGGGACUGAGACACGGCCCAGACUCCUACGGGAGGCAGCAGUGGGGAAUUUUGGACAAUGGGCGCAAGCCUGAUCCAGCCAUGCCGCGUGAGUGAAGAAGGCCUUCGGGUUGUAAAGCUCUUUCGGCGGGGAAGAAAUUGCUUAGGUUAAUACCUUGAGUAGAUGACGGUACCCGCAUAAGAAGCACCGGCUAACUACGUGCCAGCCGCCGCCGUAAGAC